AGAGACAGCAGCAGCCGCGGUAAUACAGAGGGUGCGAGCGUUAAUCGGAUUUACUGGGCGUAAAGCGUGCGUAGGCGGCUUUUUAAGUCGGAUGUGAAAUCCCUGAGCUUAACUUAGGAAUUGCAUUCGAUACUGGGAAGCUAGAGUAUGGGAGAGGAUGGUAGAAUUCCAGGUGUAGCGGUGAAAUGCGUAGAGAUCUGGAGGAAUACCGAUGGCGAAGGCAGCCAUCUGGCCUAAUACUGACGCUGAGGUACGAAAGCAUGGGGAGCAAACAGGAUUAGAUACCCCAGUAGUCCCUGUCUCUUAUAC
rnacentral:rRNA from 1 species